rnacentral:rRNA from 1 species
UACGUAGGGGGCAAGCGUUGUCCGGAUUUAUUGGGCGUAAAGGGCGCGUAGGCGGCUUGGCAAGUGGAUGGUGAAAUCCCUCGGCUUAACCGAGGAACUGCCGUCCAAACUGCUUCGCUUGAGACCGGGAGAGGUGAGUGGAAUUCCCAGUGUAGCGGUGAAAUGCGUAGAUAUUGGGAGGAACACCAGUGGCGAAGGCGGCUCACUGGACCGGUACUGACGCUGAUGCGCGAAAGCGUGGGGAGCAAACGGG